rnacentral:rRNA from 1 species
GAUGAACGCUGGCGGCGUGCCUAAUACAUGCAAGUCGAGCGAACAGACGAGAGUGCUUGCACUCUCUGACGUUAGCGGCGGACGGGUGAGUAACACGUGGGUAACCCACCUAUAAGACUGGGAUAACUUCGGGAAACCGGAGCUAAUACCGGAUAAUAUUUAGCUUCGCAUGAAGCAAUAGUGAAAGACGGUUCUGCUGUCACUUAUAGAUGGACCCGCGGUGUAUUAGCUAGUUGGUGAGGUAACGGCUCACCAAGGCAACGAUACAUAGCCGACCUGAGAGGGUGAGCGGCCACACUGGGACUGAGACACGGCCCAGACUCCUACGGGAGGCAGCAGUAGGGAAUCUUCCGCAAUGGACGAAAGUCUGACGGAGCAAUGCCGCGUGAGUGAAGAAGGUUUUCGGAUCGUAAAACUCUGUUGUAAGGGAAGAACAAGUACGUUAGUAACUGAACGUACCUUGACGGUACCUUACCAGAAAGCCACGGCUAACCACGUG